GCUCGUGGAUCGAUGAAGACCGCAGCUAAAUGCGCGUCAGAAUGUGAACUGCAGGACACAUGAACACCGACAAGUUGAACGCAUAUUGCACACCGUACAACAGUACGAUGUACACAUUUUUGAGUGCCUAUAUUUAUCGAUUCAACUAUACUGCUGCUCGACGGGUCCGUCCCCGCCGCCGCGACAACACUGGACUGUGCGUUCACUUCGGGUGGACAGGCACAACGGUGGUCGCAUGUGGCGCGGGCCCUUAGGCGUAUGCGUAGUGACGUUUUCCCCGGACCCCUGGGACUGGGUAAAACGUUGAAGAUAGUCAGGCGCGUCCGCCCUUCCCUUUGGGGCGCGAACCGCGGUUGAUGGAUACCACCCCAAUACACCGGUCUCUGGUUAUUGUAGUAUCCCAUCAGCACUGCGCCAACCACCACUCUCGAACGCACUCUGUAGGCCUCAAAUGAUGUGUGACUACCCCCUAAAUUUAAGCA
rnacentral:rRNA from 1 species